GACGAACCGUGCGAACGUUAUUCGGAAUCACUGGGCUUAAAGGGCGCGUAGGCGGGUCCGUUAGUCAGGGGUGAAAUCCCACGGCCCAACCGUGGAACUGCUGGGCAUACUGCGGGUCUUGGGCCAACUAGGGGCAGCCGGAACAAGCGGUGGAGCGGUGAAAUGCGUAGAUAUCGCUUGGAACGCCGAAGGUGAAAACAGGCUGCUGGGGUUGCGCCGACGCUGAGACACGAAAGCCAGGGGAGCAAACGGG
rnacentral:rRNA from 1 species